CCGGCGACCGGCGCACGGGUGAGUAACACGUAUGCAACCUGGCCGCCACAGGGGGAUAACCCGCGGAAACGCGGCCUAAUACCCCGUGACGCCACCGGAGGGCAUCCUCCGGUGGCCAAAGGAGCGAUCCGGUGGCGGAUGGGCAUGCGGCGCAUUAGCUAGACGGCGGGGUGGCGGCCCACCGUGGCGACGAUGCGUAGGGGUUCUGAGAGGAAGGCCCCCCACACUGGGACUGAGACACGGCCCAGACUCCUACGGGAGGCAGCAG
rnacentral:rRNA from 1 species